AGUGAAGCGGGAAAAGCUCAAAUUUAAAAUCUGGCGGUUUCACCGUCCGAGUUGUAAUUUAGAGAAGUGUUACCCGUGCUGGACCGUGUACAAGUCUCCUGGAACGGAGCGUCGUGGAGGGUGAGAAUCCCGUACAUGACACGGACUACCAGGACAUUGUGGUGCGCUCUCGAAGAGUCGAGUUGUUUGGGAAUGCAGCUCAAAAUGGGUGGUAAAUUCCAUCUAAAGCUAAAUAUUGGGGAGAGACCGAUAGCGAACAAGUACCGUGAGGGAAAGAUGAAAAGAACUUUGGAAAGAGAGUUAAACAGUACGUGAAAUUGCUGAAAGGGAAACGCUUGAAGUCAGUCGCGUUGUGCGGGAUUCAGCCUGGCUUUUGCUUGGUGUACUUCCUGUACGAUGGGUCAGCAUCAGUUUUGACCGGUGGAUAAGGGCGUAGGGAAUGUGGCAUCCUCGGAUGUGUUAUAGCCUUGCGUCGCAUACAUCGGUUGGGACUGAGGAACUCAGCACGCCGCAAGGCGGGGUUUUACCACCUUCGUGCUUAGGAUGCUGGCAUAAUGGCUUUAAUCGACCCGUCUUGAAACACGGACCAAGGAGUCUAACAUGCCUGCGAGUGUUUGGGUGUUAAACCCGAGCGCGUAAUGAAAGUGAAAGUUGAGAUCCCUGUCGUGGGGAGCAUCGACGCCCGGAGCAGAACUUUUGGGACGCAUCCGCGGUUGAGCAUGUAUGUUGGGACCCGAAAGAUGGUGAACUAUGCCUGAAUAGGGUGAAGCCAGAGGAAACUCUGGUGGAGGCUCGUAGCGAUUCUGACGUGCAAAUCGAUCGUCGA
rnacentral:rRNA from 1 species